GACGAACGCUGGCGGCGUGCUUGACACAUGCAAGUCGAACGGAAAGGCCCUGCUUUUGUGGGGUGCUCGAGUGGCGAACGGGUGAGUAACACGUGAGUAACCUGCCCUUGACUUUGGGAUAACUUCAGGAAACUGGGGCUAAUACCGGAUAGGAGCUCCUGCUGCAUGGUGGGGGUUGGAAAGUUUCGGCGGUUGGGGAUGGACUCGCGGCUUAUCAGCUUGUUGGUGGGGUAGUGGCUUACCAAGGCUUUAACGGGUAGCCGGCCUGAGAGGGUGACCGGCCACAUUGGGACUGAGAUACGGCCCAGACUCCUACGGGAGGCAGCAGUGGGGAAUAUUGCACAAUGGGCGGAAGCCUGAUGCAGCAACGCCGCGUGCGGGAUGACGGCCUUCGGGUUGUAAACCGCUUUCGCCUGUGACGAAGCGUGAGUGACGGUAAUGGGUAAAGAAGCACCGGCUAACUACGUG
rnacentral:rRNA from 1 species